rnacentral:pre_miRNA from 1 species
UCCUAAGGUUGCGCAAAGAAAGUGGCUUCUUAAAAUGGAAUCUACUCCUGAUGAAGAUGCUAUGAA